GUUUCUAAAAAGUCAGUUUAAGAUUUAGCCGAACCUCCCUCCUCCUAGCUGUGACAGAAACUUCACAAAACAUCCUAUGGGAACAGAUCCCUAGAGAGUGUGGCUGAGUCUCCUCAGCAUCUGUAGCCUUGGGAAAACUGGAUGUAUCAUCGAGGAACGCAAUCAGUGAACACCUUCCUGAAACGUUGAGACCCUGUAUGCGGUGGUUUGAAUGAGAACGGCCACCCUAGGCUCUUAUCAUCUGCUGGAUCUUGGAGAUGUUUUUGAGAUUUGUUUCCUGUGCUGGGGAGUGAGAGGGAGAUAAGACCUGAGUAGAAGAGAGGGCAGUGGUAGUCAACAGGCGCUCACAGCUUCUGGUUUAAACCAAGUCGGGAGGAGAGAAGGGCUUUUAGAAAAGCAAAGUGAACACAAAAUUCACUCUGACCAGACACGUGCUGUGAGAGGCGGGACGCGGUGAGAGGCAGAGAAGCAGACACUUGGGGCUUUUGAAAGUGGAUUUUUGAAUGCUAAAAAAAAAAAAAAUCUGUAAUUUCCAGUUUUAAAGAGCUGCCUAAAAGGAUAAUUGAGCAGAUUAAAAAGCUCACUUUCUGAACC
rnacentral:lncRNA from 1 species